AGCCGCGCGGUAAGCACAAAGCAAACUAUUCUUACGCCUUUUACUAAAGAAUACCGUGUGCUCACUGUUGAUAGUAGCAUACACCAGUCUUUGGAAGGGCCUUUUCUAUGGGAAU